UACGAAGGGGGCUAGCGUUGCUCGGAAUUACUGGGCGUAAAGGGCGCGUAGGCGGACAGCUUAGUCAGAGGUGAAAGCCCAGGGCUCAACCUUGGAACUGCAUCCGAUACUGGCGUGCUAGAGAAUUGGAGAGGAGUCUAGAAUUCACGGUGUAGCAGUGAAAUGCGUAGAUAUCGUGAGGAAUACCAAGUGCGAAGGCAGGACUCUGGACAAUUUUCUGACGCUGAGACACGAAGGCUAGGGGAGCAAACGGG
rnacentral:rRNA from 1 species